rnacentral:rRNA from 1 species
CGGACGAACGCUGGCGGCGUGCCUAACACAUGCAAGUCGAGCGGGGUUGAGGCGAGAGGUAACUCGAACUUCUACCUAGCGGCGGACGGGUGAGUAACGCGUGGGCAACCUGCCUCAAGGUUUGGGAUAACAGCCCGAAAGGGCUGCUAAUACCGGAUAUGCCUAUGGCCUCGCAUGGGGCUAUGAGCAAAGGGGAAACCCGCCUUGAGAUGGGCCCGCGUCCCAUCAGCUAGUUGGUGAGGUAACAGCUCACCAAGGCGACGACGGGUAGCCGGCCUGAGAGGGUGACCGGCCACACUGGGACUGAGACACGGCCCAGACUCCUACGGGGGGCAGCAGUGGGGGAUCUUGCACAAUGGGCGAAAGCCUGAUGCAGCGACGCCGCGUGAGCGAAGAAGGCCUUCGGGUUGUAAAGCUCUGUCUGGAGGGACGAACAAAAUGACGGUACCUCCGGAGGAAGCCACGGCUAACUACGUG